rnacentral:lncRNA from 1 species
GUGAUUGGGGAUUUGAGAUUUGAAAGAGCCAAACUAACAUCUAAGGUAAAGAUUUCACUUAAUGUUGAAGAAUUUAAAGGAUUUGACCACUAUAUGUUGAUUUGCCAUAGAUUGAGCUAGUUUGAUAAGGCUAGAAAUAAGUUGAAAGCUAGAAUUAGUUAUGAAAUAGAGAAUUGAGGUAUGAAUAUUGAUGAGUAUAUGGUUGUUGAAUGUUAGACUACAUUGGGAGUACGAAUGCUACCCGAACAUGCAUUCUAUUCCAAAAUAGAAAAUUUAAUAGUUGACUUUCAUUGAAAAGGACAUUCCAACUAUAUCAACUACCAUGGAUUAUUUAUAAGACAAGGCAAUAUAUUUUGAUAUAUUGGAACACAUCGUAUUCUUAGGUUUAUAUUUGUGAUUCAAGGCUCUAUCACUUUCACCAAUGCAUAGAUUUAAGUUGAAAUUGUUUUUAAAAGUACAUGCAAGAUGGUGACUAAAGCAUAUGAUCUACCAUUUUGAUUAUGAAGGUAUAUGGCACCAUUGGAAGCAACAAGGUUGAGGAUGAGUCAUUUUCCAAGUUAUUUUUCAUCGUAGUUUCUUCCAAGUCUUAGUUUUGUUUGUCCAUCAAAAGAAACAUUAGUCUUAGUUUUUUUUACCCUAAAACCUACAUGUCUUACAACUGGUGUCUACAAUUUCUUAUGUGUUUAGCAGUUCUUUGAUAUAUUAAUCAAUGAGUUCAUCUUUUAACUUUAACAUGAAACAGCAUCAUUACAAUUGUAUAGCUUGGAUUAAAUGUCAAUGGUUAAGUAUGGUGAUGGGAUACUCAUGACUUACGUAUAAUAUUGACAUUUAGGAUUUCAAGUAAAAGAAUUUAAUAAUUAAAUUAUUUGAUAAAUGAUCCUGUCUAAUACAAUAAAUACAUUCAAAACGAAUUUAACUUUAUAAAGAAAUUAGGGUGAUUGAGGUGCUGAAAUUGUUCUCUAUGUUUUGAUUUUGACUUCUUUCCCUUUUUAUUUAUGUAGAGAUGAUGAUUGGUCCAUUGAAGAGAAGAGCAGCACUCUUUCCUUCCCAUCAUACGAAGAAAGGGAUAUAACAUUGACCCAUCAGACUAGACGAUCCAGCUGUGAGUAAUUUGGCUGCUUCAUAUGACUCAAAAGCUGUAUCUAGGGCAUUAUUUAUUCAUUUUAAGACGCACCUCCAGACCAAAAUACAUUAUGUCGUUUUACAAGAAAUGCUAAAGUUGAGACUUUGGGUGCCUUUUUCAUUAUGUCAUGUAAAAAGUUUCAUGUUACUUCAUAAUCAAAUGGUUUUAUAUGCAAAAACCACUUUGUUUUUUUUAUAAUAAAAUAUAUUAUCAAAUUAUUAACUAUUUAAAAUAAUCUACAAAUAAAAUAAUUUUUUCAAAUUAUACGUCGGUUAAUAACUCUCGCAGCAUAGCGCAGGUCGAUAACUAGUUGUUUAUUAAUAUAAUAUGAUGAUGAAUUCGUUUGCUGCGUUCAAUCAACAUUCAGGAUAGGGUCAAUGCAUAUCUUUGUUAGCGCACGUCAAAACUUUACACUAGUCUCGAGUUUGGGCUCAAUGGUAGUCGAUGAUUGGCAGCAAUGAAGUCAGCAACUGCGCGAUGAGCGGCUGAUAAGUGGCACUGCGACGGUAGGUAUAUUUGUCACCACUUGAUCACAGCUAGAGUUAACCCUUAAUUUCCCAUUCUGUCUUUCGUGGCUUCUUUUCUGUACAAAAGAAAUACAGCAAUAAUCGACGAAUUUCACUUUUGACCAUCCCACUUUUCAUUUUUUAAUAUUUGAAAUCACUACAUUACAAAUAUUAUCAUCUUCUA